rnacentral:rRNA from 1 species
GCAAGCGUUAAUCGGAAUUACUGGGCGUAAAGCGCACGCAGGCGGUCUGUUAAGCUAGAUGUGAAAGCCCCGCGCUCAACGUGGGAUGGUCAUUUAGAACUGGCAGACUAGAGUCUUGGAGAGGGGAGUGGAAUUUCUAGUGUAGCGGUGAAAUGCGUAGAUAUUAGAAGGAACAUCAGUGGCGAAGGCGACUCCCUGGCCAAAGACUGACGCUCAUGUGCGAAAGUGUGGGUAGCGAACAGGAUUAGAUACCCUGGUAGUCCACACCGUAAACGCUGUCUACUAACUGUUUGUGGAUUUAAUCCGUGAGUAGUGAAGCUAACGCGAUAAGUAGACCGCCUGGGGAGUACGGCCGCAAGGUUAAAACUCAAAUGAAUUGACGGGGGCCCGCACAAGCGGUGGAGCAUG